rnacentral:tRNA from 1 species
ACUGCGAUAGCUCAGUUGGUAGAGCAUCUGACCGGUGGGCAGAAUGUCGCCAGUUCGAUUCCGGCUCGCGGCG